AGAAAAAAGAAACAAGGGAUAAUUUAGAUGUCAAUGUUUCCGGUAAUAGAGAAUAUGGAAAGGAAAUGAGCAAGAAUUUCGUAGUU
ensembl:ncRNA ZK265.13 ncRNA